ensembl:lncRNA
UGAUUAAUAAAUGGUAAGUAAACUCUUUACAAACAGUUUAUAAAUGGUAUAUUAAGGGACCUUAAUAUAAAGUCUUACCGAACAUUUUGAUCCAUCGAUGAGACUUCAUCAAUACAAUCCAUUAUCAUUAAUCUCCUAACUCAUGUAUCUCUAUGACAUGUGUGCUCUAUAACUGAUGUGCUCUGUUUUUCCUUCCUCAGCCACCGUAACGCUGCAGUGAGGAGCUGCACUGCUCAGCACCUGGAGAGACUGGCUGAGGUCAUGGGGACGGCUCGUCUCCUGUCGGGGAAGAAAGACCUCACUGACCGUUUCUUGAUUGCCGUCAGUAAACUGGCUGUGGACCCUUCACAGGAAGUCAGGCAUCAUGGUCGCAAUAUCUUGAGAAACGUGGCCACCAAUGGCGAAUUUGCUAAAAUGUGGGACAAAUUCGCUCCGAGGAAAGAGCAAGAAUCCUUGAGGGAGGUCAUCUCAAAGGUUAACCUCAAAGAAUGGUACAUUCUCUCUGGAUGAUUAGAAGAAGUGUGACAAAUUAGCUGAUAUGAUUACAGAAAUCCAAUCCCACUGGGCACAGACAUCAAUGUCUAGUUUUGAUUUAAAUUUGGAACUCAACCAAAAUGUGAAAUCCACCAAAAAUGUUGGUUAAAAGUUGGGUGGGAAAAAAAACAAUUGUGUUUUCCACGUUGAUUCACCGUCAUCACAUAGAUUUUUGUUGUUGUUGAAAUGAGGUGCAAAUAACGUUUAUUCAACCAGUUUUGGCCCAAUGGGAUGAAUUUAAUAUACUGUAAGAUUAUAUCUUUCUCUCUUUUCUCUUUUUCAACAGGAAUAUCUGAAUAAUCCCCAAUUUUACGAUAAAUUUGUAUCUAAAUAUUUGCACAUUUCCCAACUUGACUAUUAUCCCCUCCAGUCCCCAAACUCCAAUAUUUUAGCUCAUUCUAAGAAAUUUGACACCCUCCUCUAAACCCCCAUGUAAAUGCAUCUUUAAACUGCAUUGACUCCUUGUCCAAGUCCUGAAUCCACUAUAAGGCCAUAUGAACCACAUUCAAAGCACAAUAGUGAUCUACUGAAACCAUACUCACCAUCUCAGGGGGUGCUCAGAUCCUCAACCACUGACCUCCACACCAUCCUCAAAACCAGCAGUCCUCUUUUGGAGGCAGAUUGGUCAGUGCUCCUGUAUGGCACCAACAUUGUGGAUUUUCAUCCAAUACUUCUGGACUAUGAGAACAUUGUUUGGACAAUAAAAUUAGGUAAAAUGGAAGCUGGCUACAGUCUCAGUUUUAUCCUCCAAGACAGUGUGAGGAUGUGUAACAACAAUACCUGUGGUUUAACUUGAUGGUCAGGGCCAGAUUACCGAAUGGGCACGCAGGGCACCUGCCCUGUGGGCCCCGACCUCCAGGCAAUAUCAUCAUUAAUCCAAAACUAAAAGUAUAGUGGAUGUAUAUUACAGUACGUGGACGUUUUACAAUUUGUGAGCUCAUUUCAUUCUUUGUAGCCAUGUUUUAUAUAAAUUUGUGCGUAUUUUGUAGUAAGUCGUGAGCAUUUGAAAACAUUUAGUGGGGAUGUUUUAUAUCAAUUUGCUUACUGGUGCUCUUAAAUGCCGUCCCUAGGAGGGGUGCGUCACUUGAGUGGGUUGAGUCACUGACGUGAUCUUCCUGCCUGGGUUGGCGCCCAGUAUGCUCUCUCUAAUUCUCUCGUUCUUUCUUUCUUUCUUUCAUUCUUUCUUUCUUUCUUUCUUUCUUUCUUUCUUUCUUUCUUUCUUUCUUUCUUUCUUUCUUUCUUUCUUUCUUUCUUUCUUUCUUUCUUUCUUUCUUUCUUUCUUUCUUUCUUUCUUUCUUUCUUUCUUUCUCUCUCUCUCUCUCUCUCUCUCGGGCAACUGAGCGUUCCUUGCUGUCCACAGUCCACCUGGCUGUGCUGCUGCUCCAGUUUUAACUGUUCUGCCUGUGGCUAUGGAACCCUGACCUGUUCACUGGAAGUGCUUCCUGUCCCAGACCUGUUGUUUUCAACUCUCUAGAGACAGCAGGAGCGGUAGAGAUACUCUGAAUGAUCGGCUAUGAAAAGCCAACUGACAUUUACUCCUGAGGUGCUGACCUGUUGCACCCUCGACAACCACUGUGAUUAUUAUUAUUUGACCCUGCUGGUCAUCUAUGAACAUUUGAACAUCUUGGCCAUGUUCUGUUAUAAUCUCCACUCGGCACAGCCAGAAGAGGACUGGCCACCCCUCAUAGCCUGGUUCCUCUAGGUUUCUUCUUAGGUUCUGGCCUUUCUAGGGAGUUUUUCCUAGCCACCGUGCUUCUACACUUGCAUUGCUUGCUGUCAGGAGGAAUGGGCCAAAAUUCACCCUACUUAUUGCGGGAAGCUUGUGGAAGGCUACCCGAAAUGUUUUACCCAAGUAAAACAAUUUACAGGCAAUGCUACCAAAUACUAAUUGAGUGUAUGUAAACUUCUGACCCACUGGGAAUGUGAUGAAAGAAAUACAAGCUGAAAUAAAUCAUUCUCUCUACUAUUAUUCUGACAUUUCACAUAUUUCAUAAAAUAAAGUGGUGAUCCUAAAUGACCUAAAACAGGGAAUUUUACUAAGAUUACAUUUCAGGAAUUGUGAAAAGGAAUUGUGAGUUUAAAUGUAUUUGGCUAAGGUGUAUGUAAACUUUCGACUUCAACUGCAUAUUUCCCCUAUAGGCAACAAUGGUACGACCUUCAGAGUUCCACAAGCAAUUUGUUGUUUACGUUACAACGUGGGCAUGUCUCAUUGCCAACAAUAGUGAAGCAGGCAUUGUGACGUAGAACAAUGGGCUGGGCAUAGAAC